rnacentral:sRNA from 1 species
GUUUUGCGUGAAGGAUUGCAGUGGAAAUCCUUUUUUAUUUUAUGUAGCGGUAGCGGUAUAAAAUGAAAAAGAUUGUAACGUAAAGCCUGGCCCGAA